GGGAGAAGCUGACAGCAGUUGUCAGUUGUACCUUUGCUGGCCGGUGAAGACUGCUUUGAACAUUUUUUUGCUGUUUGAUUUGUUAUGCAUUCACAGAACGGCUGAGGAGCUAAAGGUGCAAAUAAGAUGCUGAGAGAAUAUUCCAUGUGUUCUAUCCUUCAUUCCACCGGAGUCUGUGUCUGUAUUUCACCAGAUUUCAGUGGUGUGAAGUGUACGAGACAUGGAGAUACGACUUCACAAGCUAACACUGACGGUUCCAGAGGUCAAUCCAGCCGAGGAUAAAUAGCUUCAUCGCUACUGUGCUUUAUUAUUUUCCUGCAUUAUGAAAGCUGUAAAGUAUAUGAAAUUUUACAAAAACACUCUUGUAUAAUAUCCUCUUAUGCAUUUCUAAGUCCAUAUGCAUGAAAUAUAUGUUAUUAUGCAUGUAUUUUUCUCAACAGAAACUGCAGGAAAAACUGAGUAAUACAAAUAAAUUCUCUGACCCUGUG